rnacentral:rRNA from 1 species
GCUGCAACUCGCCUACAUGAAGUCGGAAUCGCUAGUAAUCGCGGAUCAGCAUGCCGCGGUGAAUACGUUCCCGGGCCUUGUACACACCGCCCGUCACACCAUGAGAGUUUGUAACACCCAAAGCCGGUGGGGUAACCUUUUGGAGCCAGCCGUCUAAGGUGGGACAGAUGAUUGGGGUGAAGUCGUAACAAGGUACC